rnacentral:rRNA from 1 species
UGGGGAAUAUUGCACAAUGGGCGAAAGCCUGAUGCAGCAACGCCGCGUGAGUGAUGAAGGCCUUCGGGUCGUAAAACUCUGUCCUCAAGGAAGAUAAUGACGGUACUUGAGGAGGAAGCCCCGGCUAACUACGUGCCAGCAGCCGCGGUAAUACGUAGGGGGCUAGCGUUAUCCGGAUUUACUGGGCGUAAAGGGUGCGUAGGCGGUCUUUCAAGUCAGGAGUGAAAGGCUACGGCUCAACCGUAGUAAGCUCUUGAAACUGGGAGACUUGAGUGCAGGAGAGGAGAGUGGAAUUCCUAGUGUAGCGGUGAAAUGCGUAGAUAUUAGGAGGAACACCAGUUGCGAAGGCGGCUCUCUGGACUGUAACUGACGCUGAGGCACGAAAGCGUGGGGAGCAAACAGGAUUAGAUACCCUGGUAGU